CCUACGGGAGGCUGCAGUGAGGAAUAUUGGUCAAUGGGCGCGAGCCUGAACCAGCCAAGUAGCGUGAAGGAUGACUGCCCUACGGGUUGUAAACUUCUUUUAUAAAGGAAUAAAGUGAGUCACGUGUGCCUUUUUGUAAGUACUUGAUGAAAAAGGAUCGGCUAACUCCGUGCCAGCAGCCGCGGUAAUACGGAGGAUCCGAGCGUUAUCCGGAUUUAUUGGGUUUAAAGGGUGCGUAGGGGGGGUGUGAAGUCAGUUGUGAAAGUUUGCGGCUCAACCGUCAAAUUGCAAUUGAUACUGGAAGCCUUGAGUGCGGGUGAGGUAGGCGGAAUGCGUGGUGUAGCGGUGAAAUGCUUAGAUAUCACGAAGAACUCCGAUUGCGAAGGCAGCAUACUA
rnacentral:rRNA from 1 species